rnacentral:rRNA from 1 species
GACGAUCCCUAGCUGGUCUGAGAGGAUGACCAGCCACACUGGAACUGAGACACGGUCCAGACUCCUACGGGAGGCAGCAGUGGGGAAUAUUGCACAAUGGGCGCAAGCCUGAUGCAGCCAUGCCGCGUGUGUGAAGAAGGCCUUCGGGUUGUAAAGCACUUUCAGCGGGGAGGAAGGCGAUAAGGUUAAUAACCUUGGCGAUUGACGUUACCCGCAGAAGAAGCACCGGCUAACUCCGUGCCAGCAGCCGCGGUAAUACGGAGGGUGCAAGCGUUAAUCGGAAUUACUGGGCGUAAAGCGCACGCAGGCGGUCUGUCAAGUCGGAUGUGAAAUCCCCGGGCUCAACCUGGGAACUGCAUUCGAAACUGGCAGGCUAGAGUCUUGUAGAGGGGGGUAGAAUUCCAGGUGUAGCGGUGAAAUGCGUAGAGAUCUGGAGGAAUACCGGUGGCGAAGGCGGCCCCCUGGACAAAGACUGACGCUCAGGUGCGAAAGCGUGGGGAGCAAACAGGAAAAGAUACCCUGGUAGUCCACGCCGUAAACGAUGUCGAUUUGGAGGUUGUGCCCUUGAGGCGUGGCUUCCGGAGCUAACGCGUUAAAUCGACCGCCUGGGGAGUACGGCCGCAAGGUUAAAACUCAAAUGAAUUGACGGGGGCCCGCACAAGCGGUGGAGCAUGUGGUUUAAUUCGAUGCAACGCGAAGAACCUUACCUGGUCUUGACAUCCACAGAACUUUCCAAGAGUGGAUUGGUGCCUUCGGGAACUGUGAGACAGGUGCUGCAUGGCUGUCGUCAGCUCGUGUUGUGAAAUGUUGGGUUAAGUCCCGCAACGAGCGCAACCCUUAUCCUUUGUUGCCAGCGGUUCGGCCGGGAACUCAAAGGAGACUGCCAGUGAUAAACUGGAGGAAGGUGGGGAUGACGUCAAGUCAUCAUGGCCCUUACGACCGGCUACACACGUGCUACAAUGGCAUAUACAAAGAGAAGCGACCUCGCGAGAGCAAGCGGACCUCAUAAAGUAUGUCGUAGUCCGGAUUGGAGUCUGCAACUCGACUCCAUGAA